GCCAGCAGCUAUAUCACCCUGCAGCUCUCAAGUGGCAGCCCACUGAAGCUGAACAGGGUUGAGCCUGGUCAGUACCUGGAUGGGAGACCCCCUGGGAAGCUAUGGUUGCUGCUGGAA
rnacentral:rRNA from 1 species